rnacentral:rRNA from 1 species
GGGGGGGGGGGGGGGGGGGGGUGGGGGGGGGGGGGCGGAGGGGGCGGGCCUGCUGUGGUGGGGGGCUGGAGUGGCGAACGGGUGGGUAGCCCGUGAGUGACCUGCCCUGGACUUUGGGAUGACGUCGUGCAGCUGGGGCUAAUCCCGGAUGGGCGCUCGUGCGGCAUGGUGGGGGUUGGAAAGUUUCGGCGGUUGGGGAGGGACACCCGGGUUAGCGACGUGUUUGUGGGGUAUUGGCUUACCAAGGCUUUGACGGGUUGGCCGCCUGAGAGGGUGAACGGCCCCAUUGGGACUGAGAUACGGACCAGACUGCUACGGGAGGCAACAGUGGGGAAUAUUGCGCAAUGGGCGGAAGGCUGAUGCAGAAACGCCGCGUGCGGGAUAACGGCCUUCGGGUUGUAAACCGAUUUCGCCUGUGACGAAGCGUGAGUGACGGUAAUGGGUAAAGAAGCACCGGCUAACUACGUG